rnacentral:tRNA from 1 species
GCGGCGCCGUGGAUCGGCCCGGGAACGGCUGUUGGAAGCGGCCGCGGGCCGGUUCUACGCCGAGGGCAUCACG